rnacentral:lncRNA from 1 species
GAGUUUUAAUGUACUUGGUUCAAAUUACACAAGAUAUAAUAAAUGAUUGUUGUUUAUGAGUAUGCUUUAGUAAUUAUUUUGGAGAGUAUAUUAAAAUAAUAAUAAUUCCACUAUUAUUAUAAAGGAUAACUCCAUGACUUCACAUAUGGCACUCAUUUCUGCACUACUUAAGUAUGUAAUCUCCACAUUCUUGAAAAAGAUGGAUCUAAUCU